rnacentral:misc_RNA from 1 species
GUUUCAUUUGGCUUUCACCUGUAAAACUAAAAAGCAAAAUUUACUUCAAAUGGAAAUGGUUGCAUAUUUCAUUUUCAUUAACAAAAAUUGGCCUUAAUAGUUAAUUUCCUUUCUAUUAAUAUUCCAGAUAACAUCCUGUGGUACUGUCAGGGAGCCAAUAUACCUAAAACAAUAAAAGUUUGGACUUGCUGUUCUAAUUGACAACCAAUAUCGAUUUUACCUUCCUUUUGUUAAGAGCCCUACUUAGCAGAGCGAUAGGGUAUGAGUCGCAUAUGCUUGGUCACUUCCAAUUCCAACUCCUAAGAGAAGAUUGAUUUCAAUGCAAAAAUUGCAACAAAAGAACUUAGAGAAAUAUAUUUAUCAUAACCAAACGUCAAGAAAGAUAUCCUUUUACAU